rnacentral:tRNA from 2 species
GCAAUCGUGGCGGAAUAGGUAGACGCGCUACUUUGAGGGGGUAGUGUUUGUAUAAACGUGUGAGUUCGAGUCUCAUCGAUUGCACCA